rnacentral:SRP_RNA from 1 species
ACUCUACCAGUCUUCCCAGCUACUGAGUAGUUUAAGGCUCUGAGAUCUCUUGAGUCAGGGAGUUCUGACUUGAAGUCAGCUAUACCAAUCUUGUCUCCACUAAGUUUGACAUUAAUAUAAUGAGCUCCUGAGAGCAGGGGCCCCCUAAAUUGCUUAUUAGGGGGGCAAACCAGCCAAGGUUGGAAACAGAGCAGGUCAAAACUCCCAUGGCAAUUAGAGAGGGAUCAAGUAUCUGAGUAGCUCAUAUACUACCAGUCAGCUUAGACAAAAUGGGAAUUCCUAGUCUAA